GACGAACGCUGGCGGCGUGCUUAACACAUGCAAGUCGAACGGAAAGGCCCUGCUUUUGUGGGGUGCUCGAGUGGCGAACGGGUGAGUAACACGUGAGUAACCUGCCCUUGACUUUGGGAUAACUUCAGGAAACUGGGGCUAAUACCGGAUAGGAGCUCCUGCUGCAUGGUGGGGGUUGGAAAGUUUCGGCGGUUGGGGAUGGACUCGCGGCUUAUCAGCUUGUUGGUGGGGUAGUGGCUUACCAAGGCUUUGACGGGUAGCCGGCCUGAGAGGGUGACCGGCCACAUUGGGCCUGAGGUACGGCCCAGACUCCUACGGGAGGCAGCAGUGGGGAAUAUUGCACAAUGGGCGGAAGCCUGAUGCAGCAACGCCGCGUGCGGGAUGACGGCCUUCGGGUUGUAAACCGCUUUCGCCUGUGACGAAGCGUGAGUGACAGUAAUGGGUAAAGAAGCACCGGCUAACUACGUG
rnacentral:rRNA from 1 species